rnacentral:tRNA from 1 species
GGAAGGGGAUAGGGUCCGGUGGCCCUGCCAGUCUUCAAAACUGUGCUGUCCGCCUUAGGCGGGUGGGUGGGUUCGACUCCCUCCUCCUUCC